rnacentral:tRNA from 1 species
GGUUCCAUAGUGUAGCAGUUAUCAUGUCUGCUUUACAUGCAGAAGGCCCUGGGUACAUACCCCAGUGGAGCAA